rnacentral:rRNA from 1 species
AGCGUAGACGGCAAGGCAAGUCUGAUGUGAAAACCCAGGGCUUAACCCUGGGACUGCAUUGGAAACUGUCUGGCUCGAGUGCCGGAGAGGUAAGCGGAAUUCCUAGUGUAGCGGUGAAAUGCGUAGAUAUUAGGAAGAACACCAGUGGCGAAGGCGGCUUACUGGACGGUAACUGACGUUGAGGCUCGAAAGUAUGGGUAGCAAACA